rnacentral:rRNA from 1 species
GACGAACCGUGCAAACGUUGUUCGGAAUCACUGGGCUUAAAGGGCGCGUAGGCGGGACCCCAAGUCAAGGGUGAAAUCCUCCGGCUCAACCGGAGAACUGCUUCUGAUACUGGGGCCCUCGAGGGAGGUAGGGGCAGAUGGAACUUCCGGUGGAGCGGUGAAAUGCGUAGAUAUCGGAAGGAACGCCGGUGGCGAAAGCGAUCUGCUGGACCUCAUCUGACGCUGAGGCGCGAAAGCCAGGGGAGCAAACGGG